UACUCACUGUUUGAUUGGGGUUCUGCUUGCCGUCAUAAUUAUAUUGUAACAGCCGGCGCGCGCGCUUGUCGAUAACUAUUUUCUUUUAAAAUUAAAUGUUUUGUUUUUAAAUAAUGGAUCCCAGCAAUAAGACCGUUCCCAAAAAUUCUGUUUCUCCACAAUACUCAAGCUACAAUCCUUGGAAUUUACUGUUCAAUCCUAGAAAACGUUCGGAAAGUGAGACUAGUGCCACUUCCAGCACCUCCCAGAAUUACCAACCAGAUCCUAAAUACGGGCAACUGCAGAGAACAACGAGCAAGAAUGAGGAGUACCUGUGGAUGAUGUGGCGUUCUUAACUGCACGCACACUGACAGCUUGGGCAAUGCGCCGGCGCCGGCCCGCGCAACGCUGAUUCUGUUCACGUUUUCAUCGCAAUUAUGAACUGUUUGGAAACACGUACGACCGUACGGAGUAUAUUGUGAUAAUGCUGGAGCAAAUGGCUUUUGUGCCCACCUGGUUUCUCAUGGCGUGGCUGGGCGCAUGCAUACUUUUUAGUCCUUUCGCAAUAUUUUUUUUCCUGUGCGUUCCGCAACUGCCUCUAUUAGUAGUCAGGCGGCUCUGCCAUAUACCAUUCGAGUAUAUCUAAGGAUGCCCCUACAUUAGAGACAUGAGAUAACUAGAUAACUGGAAUAACAUGACUAAUGUACAAUAUCUCAGCAAGAGUGUGUAUCGAAUAAGAGUUGAGUGUGAAAAUUAUAUUUAGUCUGUAAAAUUGUAAAUAUUUAUGUGUAAAUUAAUGAUUAAAUAUAUUAUUUCUAUUUA